AAAAAAAAAAAAAAGUGACACCCAUUUCUCUGGAAAUUGGAAGACUAUUCAGAACACAUUCCUCUCUCUGUUAAAAGAAGAGUGAUAUAUGCUUGCCAGCAUGGAAAAAACUACAAAAAGACACCAAAACAGAUGAGUUGUGGUGCUGUAGGGCCUAUGUACCACAAGGAUUCUCUGUGGCAGUUACCACCAACAAUGGAGUUGAGGCACUCAAUAAAUCAUUGAAGAGCUUCUACCUCAAAUUUUCUGGAACAGGAAGUCUUUCAUCUCUGCUUGAAACUAUGAUAUGCGAGUUCAUCCCAGAACAGUUGCUAUCGUACAGUAGACUCAACUUCUUCUACAGUAGUGAAUGCAAGACAUACAAUCAAGAUGUUCCAACGUUCCUGAGAGACAGACCCAGGAGUUUUGUCAAACAUUGCUUAAACGGUAUCUAAGCAGCUUCCAUCUAUUCAAAAGAAUAUGUUGAGGUACUUGGAAAGGAAUCUUCUAAGGUAAAGAGUGAGACAACCUCUGCAUGGUACAGAGUUGAACUCGGUGACUCUGAAAGGUACCCAUCUUGUGAAUGUGUGUCCUUCAAAAGAAUGUUCUUACCAUGCAAGAAUUUCUUUGCUGUUUUUAGUCACUCUGACAAAACAUGGGGAGACCUUAGCCCAGUGUACUGUCGAAGCCCAUAUAUAACUCUGGAUUUCAGUGCUGCUCUAACCAAUCCACCAAUCACUGAAAACAGCACUCAAGAAGAUGUCUCUACUGACUUUUGUGUUAGUCCUCUGCCUGCCUUGUGUUGUUCAUGACCUUUGUAAAACACUGAAAUCCAGUUUACUCAAGGAUCAUGGCCUGGUUCUCCAGCAGGAAGAAGCUAUCAAGCAAAACCUUCUGGCUUUACCAAGUCGCUGUUAGAAGGCCAAACAAAAAACUGACAGAAAACGCAAAAUGAGAGUGAUGGAAGUUGCAAACAAAGAGGAUGGGUAUUUCCAUAAAAAGUCUAAAAAGACAGAGAGGACAGAAGACACAGUUAUGGACAAAGACUUGCUUCAGGCAAUAUACAGUUACUAUACUAUUAAUGUAUCUGCUAUUACUGCAUGAAAUCUAAUCUGUGUUUUUCUCUUCAGCUGAAACAGACAUGUGGUGUGGAGGUCUCUGUGGAUGAAACAAAGAAAGCAUCCACAUUGAUACACGCUGACAAAAGUUCUCUUGUGAACCAUAGUGAAAACUUACCUAGGUUAACAAAAGUGAAAUAAUGUGAUCGUGAAAUAAAAUAAUGUGUUCUGUCAAUAAAGUCUCUCCACUGAGCAAAUUCUUUGAGCUUGUUUAUAUGUAUGUUGCAUAUAUGUUUGGGACAUGGCAUCAGAGGUGAGACAUAUUCUGGAACAAGA